AGAAGCUAAGAAAAGAAUGAAAAAUGGUUACUCUAAAACCAGUUCAUAAUUUCUAUGCACUGUGGUACAAAGGAUGAAACCAUUUUCGUUGAGUUUAACACCAUUUUGUGACUUACAUCGCCAUCGAAUCUAUUGGUUUGUGGCAAACCUGUCAUUAAGAACUGGUGAUGUGAAUUGUAGAUGAUCCGAACUAGAGAAGCAAAAGAGUCAGUGGCAUGACAGCACACGUGAGCCAGUUCCACAGAUGAAGUGUGAUGAAUAGAAUACCCUACGGACUGCAGUAACCGUAACUAUUGUCCAAAAUCUGCUCUUCUCUAUGCUAAACCGUAUAAUAGCUGUUAUUCUUACCGAAAAAGAUGCUUGGGGUACUGAUAUCUGCUUAUUCUGUAUCUCAAUUAUUCUGUACCUGAAAUUGUAGUUAUUUCAUCAUUCCGUUACAAUGUAUUUGUAAAAUAAAUAUGAUUCAGCUGUGGUUUAGCAAGUUUAAA